rnacentral:piRNA from 1 species
UNCAUGUACACUGUAAGACAGGACCUGACU